UACGGAGGGUGCAAGCGUUAUCCGGAUUUACUGGGUUUAAAGGGUGUGUAGGCGGGCUUUUAAGUCAGUGGUGAAAUCUCCGGGCUCAACCCGGAAACUGCCAUUGAUACUAUUAGUCUUGAAUUUUGUUGAGGUAGGCGGAAUAAGUCAUGUAGCGGUGAAAUGCAUAGAUAUGUUGUAGAACACCGAUUGCGAAGGCAGCUCACAAAAUCGCAACUGACGCUGAGGCACGAAAGCGUGGGGAGCAAACAGG
rnacentral:rRNA from 1 species